rnacentral:tRNA from 1 species
AGCAGCGUGGCUCAGUGGAAAGAGCCCGGGCUUGGGGCCAGAGGUCAUGGGUUAUAAUCCCGUCUCUGCCG